CCAGAAGAGGGCGCCAGAUCUCACUACAGACAGUGGUCCUGUUUCACCUCACCUGCCUAAGGCACCUGAUUGGUCUAAUAAGGAGCUGGACAGCCAUCUUCCUAGCUUUAUCACCAGAUGAGGCCAGAAGAGGACACCAGAUUGAAUUGUGAUGGUUGUGAAUCACCAUGUGGUUGCUGGGAACUGAACUCAGGACCUCUGGAAGAACAGUCAGUGCUCUUAACCUCUGAGCCAUCUCUCCAGCCCCGGGGUACCAGCAUUUAAACACUUCAGGUAAGAAGAAGACAUCAGAUCUUGUGAAGCCGGCGUUGGGAGCUGCUGGGAGCAGUUGCCUUACAUGGAUGCUGCCAAUGGAACCUGGGUCCUCUUCAAGUGCAGCAAGGGUUCCUAACAACUGAGCCAUCUCUCCAGCCCCUUUUUUGCUCUGAACUGUAAAUUGCUCAGAAUAAAAUGUUGGCUUUCUGUUUC